rnacentral:tRNA from 1 species
GCCUGGGUAGCUCAGUUGGUAGAGCACUUGCCUCCGAAAGGCAAAGGUCCCGAGUUCGAGUCUCGGUCCGGCACA